GAGCCAGGAGGGAGCAAAGGAGGUUUGGAGGGAAAGAACCCUGGGUUGUGGGCUGGCGGGACCGCACCAAGGGAGAAUGAGCGGAGCGCACCAAGAGGACUGCCUCGGGGACAGGACACUGCGGAGAUGGGCGAAAUCAGGGACCAUGAGUGAGAGCUCACCAAUCCCAAGCUAAACCCUGUUGAGUUUAUGCCCUUGGAUCUUGGCUUUGCUACUUUCUGAGCUGUCUCCUGCCUGGAGGAGACACUGACAAUUGCGGGGAAGUUUGUGGGGACUGAAGGGGGCCUCUGAGGUCCUGGACUACAGCAUCUGAGACACUAGGAGAUGGCCAAAAUCCAUUGUCCAUGAGGGCUGGGAAGGGAACAAAGAACUCCUUUCCAGAUGUUCUGGUGAGACCUAGACCCCGAAAACCCCUUGCCACAGCUCAGCUAAUUAUUUACUGGCUUUCUGAGCCAGAGGGGAUGAUCAACUAGCCAAAAUGACUGUUUCAGAAAGGGCAGUGUGGCACCUACUAGGACUUAUUGCACCCUAUGCGGGCCUCUCAGAGAUGGGGUGGCAAGUGUUUGCCCACUUCUGUUGACUCAAUAGUCACCUCCUUCUCACUGGACAGAGAGGAGAGUCAUCAUCUAUUCAG